rnacentral:rRNA from 1 species
UACGAAGGGGGCUAGCGUUGCUCGGAAUUACUGGGCGUAAAGGGCGCGUAGGCGGACAGUUUAGUCAGAGGUUAAAGCCCAGGGCUCAACCUUGGAAUCGCCUUUGAUACUGGCUGUCUUGAGUCCGGGAGAGGUGAGUGGAACUGCGAGUGUAGAGGUGAAAUGCGUAGAUAUUCGCAAGAACACCAGUGGCGAAGGCGGCUCACUGGCCCGGUACUGACGCUGAGGUGCGAAAGCGUGGGGAGCAAACGGG